rnacentral:rRNA from 1 species
ACUCAAAGGAAUUGACGGGGGCCCGCACAAGCAGCGGAGCAUGUGGUUUAAUUCGACGCAACGCGAAGAACCUUACCUGGGCUUGACAUGUUCCUGACCCCCCUGGAAACAGGGGUUCCCUUCGGGGCAGGAUCACAGGUGGUGCAUGGCUGUCGUCAGCUCGUGUCGUGAGAUGUUGGGUUAAGUCCCGCAACGAGCGCAACCCCCGUCGUAUGUUGCCAGCAUUUAGUUGGGGACUCAUACGAGACUGCCGGUGACAAACCGGAGGAAGGUGGGGAUGACGUCAAGUCAUCAUGCCCCUUAUGUCCAGGGCUACACACGUGCUACAUUGGCGCAUACAGAGGGCUGCGAUACCGCGAGGUGGAGCGAAUCCCUUAAAGUGCGUCUCGGUUCGGAUUGUAGGCUGAAACUCGCCUACAUGAAGGCGGAGUUGCUAGUAAUCCCGGAUCAGCACUGCCGGGGUGAAUACGUUCCCGGGCCUUGUACACACCGCCCGU